rnacentral:rRNA from 1 species
AUUGAACGCUGGCGGCAGGCCUAACACAUGCAAGUCGAGCGGAUGAAGGGAGCUUGCUCCUGGAUUCAGCGGCGGACGGGUGAGUAAUGCCUAGGAAUCUGCCUGGUAGUGGGGGAUAACGUCCGGAAACGGGCGCUAAUACCGCAUACGUCCUGAGGGAGAAAGUGGGGGAUCUUCGGACCUCACGCUCUCAGAUGAGCCUAGGUCGGAUUAGCUAGUUGGUGGGGUAAAGGCCUACCAAGGCGACGAUCCGUAACUGGACUGAGAGGAUGAUCAGUCACACUGGAACUGAGACACGGUCCAGACUCCUACGGGAGGCAGCAGUGGGGAAUAUUGGACAAUGGGCGAAAGCCUGAUCCAGCCAUGCCGCGUGUGUGAAGAAGGUCUUCGGAUUGUAAAGCACUUUAAGUUGGGAGGAAGGGCAGUAAGUUAAUACCUUGCUGUUUUGACGUUACCAACAGAAUAAGCACCGGCUAACUUCGUG